AAAUUUCGUGGUCUUCUAUGAACUAUUUUGAAGGAAAUAUGAAGCUGUCUCUGUGCCUCGUGGUAUUGGCUACAAUUUUCAUUCAUGCUAAGGCCGCUCCAGCUUUAAGCUUCGAUGCUCAUGAAAGCGCAGGAAGAUCUUCAGUACAACAACAGUGGGAAGAUAUUGGUCAACUAGGACAAGAAAAUGUAAGAAGUAGCUUAGGAAGCUUAUCAUUUGAUGGAUCAGGUAGCGCCAGUGGUAACUUAGCACUUUUCAAAGCAGGAAGCUUAUCAGCUAAUGGAUUAUAUAUUGGAAGUGGUAAUCUAGCACUUAGCAAAACAGGAAGCAUAUCAGCUGAUGGAUCUUUUAGCGGAAGUGGUAACAUAGCACUUAGCAAAACAGAAAGCUUAUCAACUGAUAAAUCAGGUAGUGGAAGUGGUAACUUAGCACAUAGCAAAGCAGGAAGUUUAUUAACUGAUGGAUCAGGUAUCGAAAGUGGUGACUUAGCCCUUAGCAAAACAGAAAGCUUAUCAGAUGAUGGUUCCGGAAUCGGCAGUGAUAACUUAGCACUUAGCAAAGCAGGAAGCUUAUCAGCUAAUGGAUUAUAUAUUGGAAGUGGUAAUUUAGAACUUAGCAAAACCGAAAGCAUAUCAGCUGAUGGAUCUUAUAGCGGAAGUGGUAACUUAGCACUGAGCAAAAAAGAAAGCUUAUCAGCUGAUGAAUCAGGUAGUGGAAGUGGUAACUUAGCACUGAGAAAAACUGAAAGCUUUUCAGCUGAUAAGUCAGGUAGCGAAAGUGGGAAUUUAGAAAUGAGCAAAACAGAAAGCUUAUCAGCUGGUGGGUCAGGUAUCAAAAGUGGUAAGUUCGCACUUAGCAAAGAAGAGAACUUAUCAGUUGAUGGGUCAGGUAUUGAAUGUGGUAACUUAGCACUUAGCAAAGCAGGACGCUUAUUAGCUGCUGGAUUAAAUAUUGAAAGUAGUAACUUAGCACACAGCAAAACCGAAAGCUUAUCAGCUGAUGGAUCUUUUAGUAAAAGUGGUAACCUAGAACUUAUCAAAGCAGGAAGCUUUUCAGCUAAUGGAUUAAAUAUUGGAAGUGGUAAUUUAGGACUUAGCAAAACCGAAAGCAUAUCAGCUGAUGGAUCUGUUAGCGGAAGCGGUAACUUAGCACUUAGCAAAACAGAAAGCUUAUCAGCUGAUAAAUCAGUUAGCGGAAGUGGUAACAUAGCACUUAGCAAAGCAGAAAGCUUAUCAUUUGAUACACAAUCAGAAAGCGGAUUAAGCGUUGAAUCAGCAAACAGGGUAGGUAGCAUGUCACAGAGCGGAUUGGAAACCAGAUCAGGCGGCUUAUUAGUUGAUGUAUUAGGUGGUAAUCUCUAUCAAUCAGGAUCAAUAAGAUUUGAUGCGACAGAGAACUCAGAAGCUAGGGGAUCAGGUAAUGGAUUAGAAACCGGAGCAGAAUGGGCAUUAUUUCAUGGAUCAGUAAACAAAGAAGAUGUUUCAUCAGCCAGAUUUGGUAUAUCAGCUAACUCAGAAAAAAACGGAUCGUGUAGAGGAUCAGGUGAUAUGUCAGUGUCACUUAGCGGAUCAAGAAAGGGAGCAGUUGAUGGACCAUGCAGCGGAAAUUCUGAUGUAAUAGUGGAAAUUAUUCUGUUAGGUAGCUCAGCACUUAGCGGAUCAGCUAUGAAUCAAGAAGAGGUUCAAGAAGAAGCUUUUGAGCAAGAAGAGGUUCAGGAAGAUGUUCAAGAAGAAGCUUUUGUACAAGGAGAGGUUUAAGAAGAAGGUGAAAUUGUUGUUUAAUCCGUAAUCCGUGGCGGAAGUUGCUUUUUGAGGCGUUUUAGGUCAAGCCGAGAACAAGUCCUCUUCAUUGCCCGGAUAUAUAGCAUUUUGCAGUAUUAGCAAAAUAAAAAAUUAAAAAAUGAACUGUAUUUAGUUUCGCAUGUCCGUAAUGAAUAUAUAAAAUUGUCAAAAAGUA